rnacentral:lncRNA from 1 species
UGGUGUUGCGGAUAACUUGCAACAUUGGUUCAGAAGGUAGUGAUUGCCUAAAACAAGAUCUAGGUCGAAAAGCACAUUCAAUGUCAUUCCAGACAUUGUUUGAGAUAUGACAUUUUGCAUGGUAAGUAGGGAAGUGUCAAUUGAGAAGAAGGUUAGAAUGAAUAUGUGAAAAUAGUGGCAAGAAAGUGAGAAGAAUGUUAGGAUGAAGUUUGAAGAAUGUGAGUUAGUGAAUAUAUUUAUAAUGAUUAUUCACGUGUAACCACAUUGCCAAUUUGUUUGUGCACAAAAUAUCAAAAAGAAAUUAAAUUUUUCACUUAAAUCGGCUAUAGGAAUGCCGAGUUAUAUAAAUCGGCUAUGGCAAUAUAGAGUUAAAUGGCAAUUAAAUUUUUGACACAUACAUUGGCUAUAGCAAUGUCGAGUUAUGUUAAUCGGCUAUAGGAAUGUUGAGUUAUGUUUCAUAGAAAUCGAUUAUGGCAAUGGCGAGUUAUAUGUCAAUUAAAUUUUUAAAUAUUCCAAACAAAUCGGCUUUAGCAAUGCCGAUUUGGGCACACGUAGAAAAAUAAUUAGGGAAUCUUUGUCAGGGAAUCUCUGCUAUUUUUAUUUGUACUUUGCAUUUCAUUGUGUAGUCAUUCAGCUCAUUAGGAUUGCAUUGUUUGAUCAUUCUUUAUCUUAUUCUACUUUGCAUUUCAUUGUAUAGUCAUUCAGCUUAUUAGGAUUGCAUUGUUUGGUCAUUCAUUAUCUUACAUUGCUUUAUCUUAUUUGACUUUAUAUUGUAUUGUGUAGUCAUUCAGCAUCUAGUCAUUAUGAAUGCGUGUAGUUUUAGGUCUUCCAUUUCUAUUCCUUCGCAACAUGCGCUUCACUAGCUUUAGAUUGUAGCCAAUUUAUCUCUCCAAUUUACGGGCUGGAUAAUAUUGUUAAGGCAUAUGGAUGUCACUUUCAACCGAUUGGUAAUGAAGAAUAUUAGCCCCCUUAUUCUGAUCCAAUAUUUAGCCCAAUCCUCUAAUGCGAAUGAAUAGAAUUGGAAGACCUAAAACUACACGCAUUCACAAUGAUAUGGAUGAAGUUCCUCUUGGAAAAAAAAAUGUGGAUAAUGUAGAACUGAGGGACAUAACAGGAAGACAUGUCCACUAAGAUCUAGAAAACUUGGUGAGUGUUCUACACAACCUUUCCAUAAUGACUAGUUUAUUUUGUAAUCUUUAUUUUUAUUAUGUAAGUCUUUAUUUUGUUAUGUAAUCUAGAAUAUUUUUGUUAUGUAAUCUUUAUUUUGUUAUGUAAUCUUUAGAGACAAAAGCAAUGAAGAAUUAACGAUACAAUACAAUGCAAAGUAGAAAUUUUCUUCACGUGACAAAACAAUGCAAUGGACAGAUUCUUCAUAAAAGUGAAAUGCAUGUGAUGAGUUAUAAUAAGACAAAGUAAUGUAAGAUAAUGAAUGACCAAACAAUGCAAUUCUAAUGACUAGAUGUUGAAUGACUACACAAUGCAAUGUAAAAUAAAGCAAUGUAAGAUAAGGAAUGACCAAACAAUGCAAUCUAAUGAGCUGAAUGACUAUACAAUGAAAUGCAAAGUAGAAUAAGACAAAACAAUGUAAGAUAAAGAAUGACCAAACAAUGCAAUCCUAAUGAGCUGAAUGACUACACAAUGAAAUGCAAAGUAGAAAUAAAAAUACUAGAGAUUCCCUGACAAAGAUUCCCUAAUUAUUUUUCUACGUGUGCCCAAAUCGGCAUUGCUAAAGCCGAUUUGCUUGGAAUAUUUAAAAAUUUAAUUGACAUAUAACUCGGCAUUGCCAUAGCCGAUUUAUAUGAAACAUAACUCAACAUACCUAUAGCCGAUUAACAUAACUCGGCAUUGCUAUAGCCAAUUUAUGUGUAAAAAAAUUAAUUGCCAUAUAACUCGGCAUUAUCAUAGCCGAUUUAUAUAACUCGGCAUUCCUAUAGCCGAUUUAAGUGGAAAAUUUAAUUUCUUUUUUAUAUUUUGUGCACAAACAAAUCGGCAAUUGAAUUGAAUUGGCAAUGUGGUUACACGUGAAUAAUCAUUAUAAAUAUAUUCACCAACUCACAUUCAAUCUUCACACAUUCUUUAAACUUCAUUCUAACAUUCUUCUCACUUUCUUGCCACUAUCUUCACAUAUAUAGAAUUUGUAAUAGAGUAUCUUAAUUCAUGGUCAAUUGACACUUCCCUACUUACCAUGCAAAAUGAUCAUAUCUCAAACAAUGUCUGGAAUGCCAUUGAAUGUGCUUUUCGACCUAGAUCUUAUUUCUGGCAAUCACUACCUUCUGAGCCAGUGUUGCAAGUUAUCCGCAACACCGCUUUUGGUAACUUGUUGACACUUGGACCAGUAGAAAUCAACAAUCAUCUAUUAUUAGCAUUGAUUGAGAGAUGGAAACCAGAAACACAAACUUUCCACUUUCCAUGCGGAGAGGCCACCGUCACUCUUGAGGAUGUAGUUUACCAGCUUGACAUUCCGAUAUAAGGAGAAGUUGUUAUCGGAGUGACAAGUACGGAUUGAGAAACACUUUGCAUGCGUUUGUUGGGUGCCAUUCCAGCAAGUAACGAAUUAAUGGGGCAGAGGGUGAAACUCACUUGACUUGAGAGGACAUUUCGUGAUCUCCCUCAGAAUGCUAAUGAAGUUUUUAUUGAACAACACGCUAAAGCAUUUAUUCUGAGAAUGAUCGGAGGAUUUCUCAUGCCAGAUAUAUCAGGUAACUGAGUCCACCUUAUGUAUCUUCCUUUGCUUGACGACUUAACGAAGACAUUCCAAUACAGUUGGGGCUCGCCUGUAUUGGCUUGUCUUUAUCGAGGAUUAUGUCGUGCAACAAUAAUUAGUGAUCAAAAAGAGAUUGGAGGAUGUCUACUACUCUCCUUAAUCAUGGGCAUAUGAUCGCAUUGAAAAUCUUGCACCAAGACUACGUGACCCAACACCUUAUUUUCUAUUAGUCAGAAGGUAUAUAUAAAUUUUAUCAUUAUGUGUAAAUUUUUAAUUAAUAAAAUUGAUUCAAAUUUUUUUACUAACUAACAUUGAUUAAUAAUAGGUGGUCACAAUAUUUAAUCACCACCAACAUCACUAGACAUGCUGUUAAUAUCAUACGUGCAAUGUUUGACCGUGUAUGCGUUGAUCAGAUACAUUUAUAUUUGUAUGUACGAAUAAUAAGUCAAACUUUCAUUCUGUUUCUAUAUUUUUUUAUGUUAACUUUUUUAUUAAAAUUUUUUACCAGUUUUGGUGGAUGUCGUACUCCCAACUGCCAUUCUUCCCAAACAUAUCGGAGAAAAGCCGAUCAUGUGUGUCACUAAUCUAUUUCGCAAUUGUAGAAUGACACACUGCUGAUCGGGUUAUGAGGCAAUUUGGUUUUGGUCAACCAAUUCCACAAGAUCUAGUGAAUUAUGAAAAACUUCACAAAGUUUACUUACGUGGCAAAACUGAUUGUGACUGGCCACAUAAGCAUCCUCACUGGAUUUAAAUAUGGAAUAAUUGGGAUAAUUACGUGGUCGAUGGUUUACCCGCAAAUACCAUGCCUUUGAACCACUAUUAUGAGUAUAUGCAAUGGUACUUAAAGAGGACUAGAAGAUACAUAUCUAGAGAUGGAGCACACUCCGAUGAAAUGGUAACUUUUUUUUAUGAAUUAAACUUUCUUUAAUCAAUUUAUUUACUACUAAUUUUCUAUAAACUUUUCAGUACACCUUUGCAAAAAGAAUUUGUAAUCAGAGUCGUCCUCCAGCAUCACUUGUAAAUCUCACAUAAUUUUUAUGUGACGUAUUCUCUUCUGGCCGUGAAAUGAUGAGAGUAUUGGUUGAACUAGAUCUCAAUGUAUACUCUACCCACAUUGAUGAAGCUCCAUCUACUCAUUAUUAUCAUAUAUCGGAAACCGAGUCUUCGCAAUGAACUGAAGUGGAUACUCAUUCUCAAACACACACGUCUUCAGUUACUCCUCCACAACAAUCGAAUGAGACCUCUCCACAUGGAAAGUGGAAAGUAUGUGUUUCUGGUCUCCAUCUCUCGAUCAAUGCUAAUAAUAGAUGAUUGUUGAUUUCUACUGGUCGAAGUGUCAACAAGUUACCAAAAGUGGUGUUGCGGAUAACUUGCAACAUUGGUUCAGAAGGUAGUGAUUGCCUAAAACAAGAUCUAGGUCGAAAAGCACAUUCAAUGUCAUUCCAGACAUUGUUUGAGAUAUGACAUUUUGCAUGGUAAGUAGGGAAGUGUCAAUUGAGAAGAAGGUUAGAAUGAAUAUGUGAAAAUAGUGGCAAGAAAGUGAGAAGAAUG